rnacentral:rRNA from 1 species
AUUGAACGCUGGCGGCAUGCCUUACACAUGCAAGUCGAACGGUAACAGGGAGCUUGCUCCGCUGACGAGUGGCGAACGGGUGAGUAAUGUAUCGGAACGUACCAUUCAGUGGGGGAUAACGUAGCGAAAGUUACGCUAAUACCGCAUAUUCUGUGAGCAGGAAAGCAGGGGAUCGCAAGACCUUGCGCUGAUUGAGCGGCCGAUAUCAGAUUAGCUAGUUGGUGAGGUAAAGGCUCACCAAGGCGACGAUCUGUAGCGGGUCUGAGAGGAUGAUCCGCCACACUGGAACUGAGACACGGUCCAGACUCCUACGGGAGGCAGCAGUGGGGAAUUUUGGACAAUGGGGGCAACCCUGAUCCAGCCAUGCCGCGUGAGUGAAGAAGGCCUUCGGGUUGUAAAGCUCUUUCGGCCGGGAAAAAUACGGCAUCAGUUAAUACCUGGUGUGGAUGAUGGUACCGGAAUAAGAAGCACCGGCUAACUACGUGCC